GAGGGUUUCUACUCCAUGUGAGAGGCACCCUUCCCUAAGGGAAUUUCUCGGGGUCUAAGCCAUAUGGGAGACGACCGUGGUCCUUCAUCGACCCCUUUGGCCCACAGUGGGUUCAGCUACGUGGACCUAGUGGAGGGCUUACAUGAUGGACACUUCUACGCCCUGAAGCGAAUCCUGUGUCAUGAGCAGCAGGACCAGGAAGAGGCCCAACGAGAGGCAGACAUGCAUCGCCUCUUCCAGCAUCCAAACAUCCUUCGCCUCAUGGCUUACUCUUUGAAAGAACGAGGUGCUAAGCAUGAAGCCUGGCUGCUGCUACCCUUCUUCAAGGUCAGAAAAGCUUGUGGUUAUAGAGGGGAUUGUAGCAUUGUACAACCCCACCAAGGGCUCUGUGGGCAGUCAAAUAUAAAUACCCUAGGAACACACACCCUGGUUUUGGCCACUUUAUAUUUGGGGCUCAGAGAACCAUAGGAUCCCCUAUGAACUUGACAUCACACAUAGCCCCAAAUGAUCAGUGAGAGUGUAUGUGGUAAAAGGGUUGACAGACUUCAACACAAAAUAGAAUCCUGGGAAAUGGAAGCUUCAGAAUGUCUCAACACGGAAAACUUGUGUUGUAGAGAGGUACACUGUGGAAUGAGAUAGAAAGGCUGAAGGACCAAGGCAACUUCCUGACUGAAGACCAAAUCCUUCCGUUGUUGCUGGGUAUCUGC
rnacentral:lncRNA from 1 species